rnacentral:rRNA from 1 species
CCUACGGGAGGCUGCAGUGGGGAAUAUUGGACAAUGGGCGAAAGCCUGAUCCAGCCAUGCCGCGUGUGUGAAGAAGGCCUUCGGGUUGUAAAGCACUUUCAGUGGGGAAGAAAGCCUUGGGGCUAAUACCCUCGAGGAAGGACAUCACCCACAGAAGAAGCCCCGGCUAACUCCGUGCCAGCAGCCGCGGUAAUACGGAGGGUGCGCGCGUUAAUCGGAAUUACUGGGCGUAAAGCGCGCGUAGGCGGUCUGAUAAGCCGGUUGUGAAAGCCCCGGGCUCAACCUGGGAACGGCAUCCGGAACUGUCAGGCUAGAGUGCAGGAGAGGAAGGUAGAAUUCCCGGUGUAGCGGUGAAAUGCGUAGAGAGCGGGAGGAAUACCAGUGGCGAAGGCGGCCUUCUGGACUGACACUGACGCUGAGGUGCGAAAGCGUGGGUAGCAAACAGGAUUAGAUACCCGGGUAGUC